ACGUCGCGACCCGUUCGAUGUUGGUCGAAGGGUCAUAGUGAAGUUUGUUUCCCUUACAUUGGUUUUUCCGGUGUUUGUGGUGCAAUCCUGUGAUUUCCUGGCUAAUGUUGGACGGUAUGUCUUUUAAACCGGUUUACUUUAUGUAAUUGGUGGUCAGCGACGAAUAUUCGGUUCUCUUUCCGACCCGUCUUGAAACACGGACCAAGGAGUCUAACAUGUACGCGAGUCAUUGGGUUAUAUCGUAUAUUGAUAUUAAUUAAAAAACCUAUAGGCGUAAUGAAAGUAAAUUGCGAGAGGACUAUGUUCGAGUCACGUUUUUUGAAUUAUUUCAGAACCGGACAUACGCACUCUCGGGGCAUCCAAAUGAUACGGAUUUAUUCGAAUCUGGGUGCACCUAUAGCGUACACGUUGGUACCCGAAAGAUGGUGAACUAUGCCUGGCCAGGAUGAAGUCAGGGGAAACCCUGAUGGAGGUCCGCAGCGAUUCUGACGUGCAAAUCGAUCGUCUG
rnacentral:rRNA from 1 species